rnacentral:rRNA from 1 species
GUACACGCUGUGACUAGCAUAUCAAUAAGCGGAGGAAAAGAAACUAACAAGGAUUCCCCUAGUAACGGCGAGUGAAGCGGGAAGAGCUCAAAUUUGAAAUCUUAAAGGGUUUCCCUUUACGAAUUGUAGUUUAAAGAAGUGUUUUCUGUUGAGGUUUUGGUAAAAGUUCUUUGGAAUAGGACAUCAUAGAGGGUGAGAAUCCCGUAUUUGACCUUUACUUUCAACUUUGUGAUACACUUUCAAAGAGUCGGAUUGUUUGGGAAUGCAGUCCAAAAUGGGUGGUAAAUUUCAUCUAAAGCUAAAUAUUGGCGAGAGACCGAUAGCGAACAAGUACCGUGAGGGAAAGAUGAAAAGAACUUCGAAAAGAGAGUUAAACAGUACGUGAAAUUGUCAAAAGGGAAGCGUUUGACACCAGUGUUGUUUUUCUGAAAAUCAAUUAAAGAACUGUUUAUGCUAAGCUGUUUAGACUUUAUCAGCUAACUGUUUAGUUUUGAGCUUUUCUUUAAUGCACUUUUCAGUUAACAAGUCAACAUCAAUUUCUUUUGCUGUAAAAAAGCUUGAGGAAGGUGGCUUGAGAUUCGUCUUAAGUGUUUAUAGCCUCUUGCCUAUGCAGUCGGAGAGAUUGAGGUCUGCAGCGUAGAUCCUUCGGGGCUAAAUGCAUUUGUGCUAAGUUAUAGCAUUUUAUAGACAACUUGUUGACUAUGACUUGUCUUGUAGCUUACUCGCUUAUGUUAUUUUACCUACGCUUAGGAUGUUGAAGAUGUAGCACAUCAU